rnacentral:rRNA from 1 species
GACGAGGGGUCCUAGCGUUGUUCGGAAUCACUGGGCGUAAAGCGUAUGUAGGCGGGCUUUUAAGUCAGGUGUGAAAUCCCACGGCUCAACCGUGGAAUUGCAUUUGAGACUGGAAGUCUUGAGUGUGGGAGAGAUUGGUAGAAUACCUGGUGUAGUGGUGAAAUACGUAGAUAUCAGGUGGAAUACCGGUGGCGAAGGCGGCCAAUUGGCCCAACACUGACGCUGAGGCGCGAAAGCCAGGGGAGCAAACGGG